AGAGUGUUUGGUUCUGGCUCUAGGUUGAAUUAGUCUUUAUAAUACAUAAUGGUACUAUAAGGGUAGUGGGCUUGUUUAUACUGAAUAUAUAGGCUUAAACAGUAUUUAUAGUUCAGUUAAAGUAUAAAAUCAUUAGUAACUACAAAGAUGAUUAAUAAAAUUUCCCAAAACCAGUGAGAAAUAUUAAACAAUUAUAGAAAUAUAGAUUUAGGGUUGACAAUAUAAGGAGGUAAGUCUGGUGCCAGCACCUGCGGCUAAACCGGCCCUUACUUUAACCUGUUCGUAAAGAAGAUGAAGUAAAUGCUAUAGGCUAAAAAUAAAAAAGUUUUUUGGUGAAAUAUUUUCUUUGAUUGUAUUAAGUGCUUAUAAAUCUUGUAUCUUAAAAGUCUGUUGAUGAGACCGGGAUUAGAGACCCCGUUAUUAAUGAUGUAUUCUAACUUUACGGUUAGUACGAGCAAUAAUAAAGCUUAAAAUCUAAAGAACUUGGCGGUGCAUUAUACUCAUUCAGGGGAACUUGGCGGUUAAAUCGAUGAUCCUCGUAAUACUUUACCUUUUUUAUUCUUGCUAUACCGCCGUUGGAGUUAAUUCUUAAAUGAUAUAGAUCUUUCCUAUAAAAAUAAAUUUAUAGUUUAUUUUCAAAUUCAGGUAAACGUGGCGGUUAAAAAAAGGGCUUAGCUGAGUUACAGUACAUAGUGGGGAUAGUAAUUGUAAUAUUACUUGAACUUGGACUUGAUAGUAAAUCUAUGUAAGAGAGUUAGUUUGAACUGUACUAUUGAUGUGUGUACAAAUUGCCCGGUACCCCCAUAUAAAUUAUAAAAUGGGGUAAGCCGUAACAUGGUAAUGCUACUAGAAAGUGGUGUUAAUAAAUU
rnacentral:ncRNA from 1 species